AAAAAUGCGAGUUUAGUUAUGACUCAUAGCGAACGCUAUCUAGCAGUUUGACACAUGCAAGUUCAUCGUCUGUUCUGCAAGUUUGCAAUAGGGGGACCUUAGCAAAUUGCUAACAUAAGACGGUAGCGUACAGGCGAGUAUACGUUAGCUGCUAAGCUUAAGUGUCCUCUAAGGAUACGGUGCAUUGCGAACGCAAUGUCGCUAAAAAACACAAUUGUUUGCUUAAGCAUGCGCUAACAUCACAGCAGCUAGUUGCCUAGGUAAAAGCUAAGCAAGGCUAUGACGUGUAGACGUUAGUGAAAGCUACGACGUCCGCAAUGACUACGAACGAAGUCAUACUACACUAGUAGGCAGCAGUGCAGAAUAUUUGUCAAUGGUCGCAAGACUGAACAAGCUAGCUAGAUCGUGCAUAGGCUUAAGCUUAGCACGUAACGUAACGUCAUAUAAUGACGGCCGUUAUAACAAGUUGCAACCCAUUUCAGUGCCAGCAGUUGCGGUUAGACUGAUGCAGCAAGCGUUGCUAGUAAUAAAUAGGCGUAAAAAAUGCGUAGGUGGGAGUUGGGUACCCGGUAUGUACUACCUGGUAUUCCCCAUAUGGAUUCUAGUUGGGUAGUGGGUAUGUUCAGCGUAGCAAUGAAAUGCAUUGAUGCUGAAAGGACCACCCUAUUACUGCUACUAGCUAGCAAUUGACACUAAGGCAUGAACGCAUAGGCAUAAAAGAGGAUUAGAUACCCUCGUAUUCUAUGCUGUUAACGAUGAAGGCUGCUAAUUUAGCUUAGCUUUACUAGCAUGCAAACGCUUAAGCCUUCUGCCUGGGUAGUACAGUCACACGGCUGAACACCAAAUAACUAGACGGUUUUGAAGACCUGCAGUGAAGCAUGAACCUUAAUUCGACAAUCCGCGCACAACCUUACCAUCGCUUGCAUGGGGAAUUUGAGGUAGUAUUACACACGAUUUGCAUAUGACUUCCCCCACCGGUAUGCUUAUGGGGAAUACGGUGUACUAUACAACAUAGCUUUGUGUUAUAGCUUAAGCUAUAGCAUGGGGGAUAUGAGGUAGUAUGUACCGGGUACCCUAUUGUGUGCAUCUGUCAAUUAGCAUGGGGAUUUCGGUGUAUAACACAGCAAGUUUGCUGCCCUACCCAUGUAGCUGUUAAUAGCAGUUACAUGGCGCUAUGAUGAUAGUAUAGUAUCGGCUGUCCAUAGGUGCUAGUCGACAUAUGCAUGGGGAAUACGAUGCAUUAUACGUCAUAUGUCUUAUGUUGCAGCUAAUAGCAACAACAUGGGGAAUAUGAGGUAAUGUAUACCUGGUACCCUAUUGCAUACUGUAAGUGAGGUCAUAGGGGAAUACGGUGUAAUAUACGUCAUAGCCUACACAGGUGCUACAUGUCCUUCUUCAGCAUGUGUUGCUAAAUGCGUGGUUCAAUCCGCUAACAUGCGCAAGCCUAGCAGCCAACAGAAUACGGUUGUUUGCGGUCCAUAUGACUGCAGAUAGGGGUUAAGAAAGGACACCAUGACCCCCAUGCGAUGGGCUGUCUUUGUGCUGCUAAAGCUAGUACAACGCAACGCUAUUGUCUAAUGACAGCAGCUAUUUGUAAACGCUAGCUUGAUGAAUUGACAGCUGCAAAGGCUGUCAUGAAUAAGGAAUUGCAAGUAAUCGUAGUGUAGUGCGCUACGGUGAACACCCCAUUCAAAAUGUACUAAUCACCCGUCACGUCGGGAGAGGCUUUCUAGCUGUAAAAUAGGGCCUGCAUGCGUGUACUGCAGUGUUAGCUUAUAACGUCACACGGCGUAUAAAACAGCGUCUGCUAGCAAAUUUGCAAAUUUGAUGCCUUGCUGCAGCGCCAUGUAGGCUUUGCUAACAGCUAGCGCUAAUCUGGACGAAGUCGUAAUAUAGGAGCGGUACGGGAACGUGCUGCUGAAUAAUGACUUUA
rnacentral:rRNA from 1 species